AUCAAAACCUCCUAACAUUGAAGAAAUCGUGCUGAACAGGAACACGCAUCGACGUACAAGGAUACAACAGAAUCUUAUUAAACCCGUUUCAUUUACUAAUAAUACCACUAUUUACUAAUUUACUAAUUAUAUCAUUCUCUUCUCGUCAACAAGCGUCAUUUCAGGAUUAGGGUUUUCAUUAUAGCAUUGAAUAUACUAUAAAAAUGCCGUCAGACUAAAAAAACGUGUGACUAAUCGCUAUCUCUAUUUAUAGGUACCCGUAACCGUGAAUAGGAAUAGUAACUCAUGAGAAAAAUACUAGGAUAUAAAUCCUAGUAAUGACAUAUUAUCGGCGCGGUAAAAAA